AGCGGAGAGUCUAGGCGGCGUAGGUUACGCGGCGAGUCCCGGAGGCGAAGGUCCUGCGGCGAGUCGCGGGGGCGUGGAUCAAGCGGAGAGUCUAGGCGGCGUAGGUUGCGCGGCGAGUCCCGGCGGCGAAGGUCCUGCGGCGAGUCGCGGGGGCGUGGAUCAAGCGGAGAGUCUAGGCGGCGUAGGUUGCGCGGCGAAUCCCGGCCGCGGAGGUCCCGCGGCGAGUCACGGCGGUCAUUCGCGGCGUGGACCUCCGCGGGCUUCACGACGUCGCCCACUCCGCCUCUGUCCGGCGGGCGCAGUACCAUGCUGCUAAGACCGCCUCCGCUACGAGUCGCCAGCGGCAGCGGAACCGCCUCCUCACUUUCGCGAGGCCGACUCUCUCUCUCUCGAUCAGACCACAGAAUACGGAUGUCGAAUAUCUGUUAUACGGGGCUGGAUGGACGAC
rnacentral:lncRNA from 1 species